rnacentral:rRNA from 1 species
CCUACGGGAGGCAGCAGUGAGGAAUAUUGGUCAAUGGACGCAAGUCUGAACCAGCCAUGCCGCGUGCAGGAAGACGGCUCUAUGAGUUGUAAACUGCUUUUGUACGAGGGCAAACGCAGAUACGUGUAUCUGUCUGAAAGUAUCGUACGAAUAAGGAUCGGCUAACUCCGUGCCAGCAGCCGCGGUAAUACGGAGGAUUCAAGCGUUAUCCGGAUUUAUUGGGUUUAAAGGGUGCGUAGGCGGUCGGAUAAGUUAGGGGUGAAAUCCCGAGGCUCAACUUCGGAAUUGCCGCUGAUACUGUUCGGCUAGAGAGUAGUUGCGGUAGGCGGAAUGUAUGGUGUAGCGGUGAAAUGCUUAGAGAUCGUACAGAACACUGAUUGCGAAGGCAGCUUACCAGGCUACUUCUGACGUUGAGGCACGAAAGCGUGGGGAGCGAACAGGAUUAGAUACCCGAGUAGUC